ACAUGAACACAGAAGAAAAGCAUAAUCAAAGUCUCCAAGGAAAUUCCUCCUUUUGCUUCCCAAUCAUUCAAAAAAUUGAACUAUUUGAGAAUAAUUUAAGGAACAGGGGAAAUGGAAAUCAAAACCCAGGUUUUGAAUUUGUCACAGCGUAGCUUUUACUUCUUGGAUAAACCAAAUCAGCCUUAUCUUCAACGCCAUCUUCAAAUUCACAAGCAG
rnacentral:misc_RNA from 1 species